UACGUAGGGGGCAAGCGUUGUCCGGAUUUAUUGGGCGUAAAGAGCUUGUAGGUGGUUCGGUAAGUCGGAUGUGAAAUCUCCAGGCUCAACCUGGAGGGGUCAUUCGAUACUGCCGUGACUAGAGGCCGGUAGGGGAGUGUGGAAUUCCUGGUGGAGCGGUGAAACGCGCAGAUAUCAGGAGGAACACCCGUAGCGAAGGCGGCACUCUGGGCCGAUACUGACACUGAGGAGCGAAAGCGUGGGGAGCGAACAGG
rnacentral:rRNA from 1 species